UUAGUUUUUCUUUGUUAGUAUCUUUUAUUUGCAAAUAUUCAGUAGCAUAUGCACUUGAACAAACACUGUUGGUUCAGAAUAUUGCUGCAGACCACCACGGUUCAGAUUUUGUUUUUUGUACAGGAACCGAAUGCUAAAGAGUAAGUAUGGAAGGAUGGUCAUAACUUCUACAUUAAGGGAAGAACGUCACAGAAAAACAAGUGAUUUGAGUUUGAUUGGCCAACAAAACAUCCAGGACUAAUGUUAUAGUUUGUUGCCAAGUACUUCUACUGAUGGUUUAAUUUUAUAUUUAGUAGGAGAUUUCAUAUAUAUAUUCUCUCCGCGUGCGCUGGUUGCCUACCGCACGUUCUGGUGGCGUGCCUCACGUCGGUUCACGUCGAAUCCACCGCCGCGAAGGCGCUGGAGGUGCGGCACAAGGCGGAUCAGAAGGUGCAGCUCGGCAAAGAUGCUAAGACCCUCAUGUCAAAUUGACAAAUAAUGUAGGGUACACUGGAUGCGGCAAGAUUUGCUUCUGCUUUUGUUCGGGGAGAUGAUGGUGUCCGUAAGAUAUUUACAGAGCUGGCCUACUGCUACAAGUAUGCCUUAUUAGCUAGCCAUGGACAGAGAUUGAGCUGGUGGAUGUACAAGAUUGUUACGAACUAGCAUACGGAUUGGUGAUGCCUCACCAAUGGCAUACAUUGAGCAAGUUCCUUUGUUCAUACUUCUUUACAUUUUCACAGAGUGGUUUGUCGACAGAGAGAAUGAGCUCAGAGGCCAAACCUGCAACACCACCGCCACCUCUGCAACACCACCACCACCUCUGCGGGUUCCAAUUGAUGCAUGGGCAAAGUCUCGGGCUAGCCAACAAUGUGCAGUACCUAAAAUUUGCUCAACUCUGAAAUCAGAAGCCUUAUGAGUGAAUUAUCUGUUCUGCGUUUUAUUUCUUGUGAAUGAGAAUACCCAUUUUGUCUUGUCAUGCUGGAGGAUUUCUAUCAGAAUAUAAAUUGUCAAUAGAAUAAUUCAACUUAGUUGCUGAUGUUUGAUUUUUUU